rnacentral:lncRNA from 1 species
CUGGCUGCCUGCUUCCCAGGGAAACACACCUGUAUCAGAGCAUUUAACCCACCACUCUCACAUUCCACCUCUCCCUGGAAGAAAAACCUGUUUGCCAUUCUGCUGGCUGGCUUCCUUGUUGGUGCAGGUAGAAAGCCAGGCUCUGGGAACCCAGCAGACAUGCUGUCAGGAGAACUUCCUUUGCAGUGGGAUGUGAGCUGAGGCAGCGGGAGACCACUGGUUUGUGUUAUAUCCUCUGACUCGACAGUGAGCACAGGGACUCUCAAAUGUGACAUUUCUCCUAUUGGUGCUAUCUAUGCCUGUCCUUUCAGCCAGGUGGAUCAAGUCAUUUGCUGCAUCGUUUUACAUUGUGGAAAACCUCCUUUAUGUCUGGCUUAAUACGACACGCUGAGGUUCCCGUACCUGUUUCUGCCUUCAAACUGUUCCUGCGGGCUGUUUUUGGAAGAAAAUCUGGUCUCAUAUGGAUAUGUGGUUGGAAAAGGGAAGACCUUGUGGGACCCCCUGAAAUGGCCAGGGGACCUUAGACCAUACUUCGAGAAUCAUCACCUUUCAGCAAUGGUUUAAAUAAGCCGAGAAAGCUUUCCUCACCUUCAUGUAACAGCUGAGGAAACUGAAGGCUCUGAAAAUGACAUGAUGUUGUGAAGAUCUUACCCUGCUUUAAUGCAGGAGGCAAGGCUAGGAACUGGCUCUUCUGUCUCCUGCUUUGGGGCUAUUUCCAUUACUAAAGGAAACAAGAUUCAUGAUGCUCCUAAAGUACAGCCUCCUUAAGAGUUCCUUUCAUGAAGGUCCCCAGUUUGUGAUAGUUUUGCAGCCUUUCUUUGUCUUUCAUGGUCUGGAUGAUUUUGAGGAAUGCUGGUCCGAUGUUUUGUAAAACAGCCCCCAAGUUGGAUUUCUCUGAUGUUUUCUUAUGGUUUGACUGGAGUUAUGGACAUCUGGAGGAAGAAUACCACAGAGGGUCUAGGUCUGUCACCUAGGCUGGAGUGCAGUGGCACAAUCAUGGCUCAUUGAAGCCCAGACCUCCCAGCUUACAGCUCCUGGUAAUUGUUCCUUCUCCUGGUGUUCCUUGCUCAGCCUUGGGAUGCUGCACAGACUGGAAGGUUGCCCAAGAAACCCUUUCCCCUCAACCUCCUAAGUUGCUGGAACCACAGGCACAUGCCACCACACCUGGCUAAUUUUUUUAAGUGUUCUGUAGAGAUGGGGUCUCCCUAUGUUGCCCAGGCUGGAUCUUUACAUUUUCUUAAGAUAUCUUUCCAAGAGCAGAAAAAAUCCAUUUUAAUUAAGUCCAACUUAUGAAUUUUUUUAUUUCAUGGUUUAUGCUCUUUUGUGUCCUACCUUAAGGGCAAAAAAACUGUCUCCUAUAUAUUCUUCUAGAAGUUUUAGUUUUUGUGCUUUGGUCUGUGUCCAUUUUGAGUAUUUUUAUGCGUGGUGUGAAGCAAUGAGGCCGAAGUUGGAUUUUUUUUUUUCCUCUAUGGCUAUCCAAUUGCUGCAGCACCAUUUGUUGAAAAGGAAAUUCUUUCCACAUUAAAGUGUCUUAGAAUCUUUGUCAAAUCAAUUUAUUACCAGAUGCAUGUGAAUUUAUAUCUGGAUUUUCUAUUCUGUUCUAUUGAUCUAUAAAUAUGCCUAUUCUUAUGCUAAGAUUAUAUGAUCAUGGUUACCUUAGCUUAAAAUAAGACUUGAAAUCAGUUUAAAUUUCUAACUUUGCUCUUCUUUUCAAUACUCUUUUGGCUAUUACAGAUUCUUUGUAUUUCCAUAUAAAUUUUAGAAUCAGCUUGUUAAUUUCUACCCAAAAAAAGCCUUCUGGGAUUUUAUUAGGUUUACAUUUGUGAAAGGAAAAAAUAAAUCUUGGGGACCCCAAAUCACUAAGCUGAAAGGAAAAGUCAAGCUGGGAACUGCUUAGUGCAAACCUGCCUCCCAUUCUAUUCGAAGUCAUCCCUUUGCUCACUGAGAUAAAUGCAUAUCUGAUUGCCUCCUUUGGAAAGGCUAAUCAGAAACUCAAAAGAUGCAACCAUCUGUCUCUUAUCUACCUGUGACCUGGAAGCUCCCUCCCCACUUCAAGUGUCCUGCCUUUCUGGAUGGAACAAAUGUACACCUUACAUAUAUUGAUUGGUGUCUCAUGUCUCCCUAAAAUGUAUAAAACCAAACUGUUCCCCAACCACCUGGGGCACUUGUCACCAGGACUUCCUGAGGCUGUCUCCUGGGCGCGCAUCCUUAACUUUGGCAAAAUAAACUUCCUAAAUUGACUGAGAUCUGUGUCAGAUAUUUGGGGUUCACACAUUAAAUCUGUAGAAUAGGGAAUAAUUGACAUGUUUACAGUAUUGAAUCUUCUGAUCUAUGAGCACAAAAUAGUUUCCAUUUGUUUGGUAGUUUUCAGUGUGUAGGUCUUACACAUAUUUCAUUCCAUUUAUUUCUAAGUAUGUUUGGAUACUAUUGUAAGCGGCAUUUUUCCACUUCAACUUCCAGUUAUUCAUUGCUAGUAUAUAGAAAUGUAAUUGAUUUCUAUAUAGUAACCUUGUAUCCUGCAACCUUGCUCACCUCACCUAUCAUUUUAGUAACUUCUUUAUAUGUUUCUUGAGAUUUCCAAAGUACGCAAUUGCAAUGUUUGAAAUAAAGACAGUUAUACUUCUUCUUUUCUGAUCUGGAUGCUUUUAUUCUUAACUUAUUGCAGAGGCUAAGACUUCCUGCAAAAUGUUGAACAGAAAUAAUGAUGGGAGACAUAUUUUUCAGUAAAAGAUGCCAAAAUAAUAGGAUAGCUGUAUGAAAACAAAUAGGUAAAGAAACAAACAAACACAAAAAACCCACAAAAGCCUCAAUGAUUCCUAGCCCUGUGUGAGCAUUGGGAUUUUUUCAGCUUACAUCUCCUGGUAAUUGUUCCUUCUCCUGGUGUUCUUUGCUCAGCCUUGGGAUGCUGCACAGACUGGAAUUUAGCCAAGGAUUUGAGGGGAUUCCAUGCAGACUCUUGGAGCCCUUUCUCUGCAUAACCUCCUUUUCUCUGGUACUCUGCCCUGCAAAUUGCAGGCAUCUCAGCCUCCCCAGACUUACAUUUCAAUCUCUUCAGCUCAGUGAGACCACUGAACUCUGAAUUCUCCCACCCUGUUUUGCAUUCCAGAAAUUGCCUCCAUGCAGAAAAUUGGGGUAAGGUUGAUCUGAUCUGUUUGUAUUCUUUCAAGUGCUGGGUUUUCUAUUAACCUACAUCUUAAAACAGUUGUUCUAUACAUUUCCACCCCAGUUUUCUAGUUGUUUACUAAGGGAGAAAAAGUCUAGACCUUGCUACCUUCUCAUGGCAUGGUCAUUUUUGUUAGUCUCCUAUUCUUUGCUCAUUUUUUUUUUUUUUUUUGGUUCUGCGAACCCAGAAAAUCUGAGACAGGCCUCAGGUAAUUUAGAAAGUUUAUUUUGUCAGAGUUGAGGAUGCGCCCAUGACACAGCCUCAGGAGGUCCUGACGACAUGCGCCCAAGGUGGUCAGGGCACAGCUUGGUUUUAUGCAUUUUAGGGAGACAUGAAACAUCAAUCAAUAUAUGUAAGAAGUACAUUGGUUCCGUCUGGAAAGGUGGGACAACUUGAAGCAAAGGCAGGAAGACUCAAUGUGGGGGAAGGAGCUUCCAGGUCACAGAUAGGUGAUAGACAAACACACUCUUUUGAGUUUCUGAUUAGCCAUUCCAAAGGAGGCAAAUCAGACAUGCAUCUAUCUCCGUGAGCAGAGGAGUGACUUCGAAUAGAAUGGGAGGCAGAUUUGCCCUAAGCAGUUUCCAGCAUGAGUUUUCCUUAGUGAUUUUGGGGGCCCAAGAUGCUUUCCUUUCACAGUUCCAUCUUGUAUUUCUUUAAAUAUUUCAAACAGUUAUUUAAUUGUCUAUAUCUGAGAAUUCCAACAUUUGUAGUCUUUAAGGAUUUAAAUCUGUGGUGACUUGUAUCCUUACGUGUUUGCUAAUUUGUGAUUGUGACUUAGUCUUUGGGCAUCACAAGUCUCUCAGGUGGGAAUGCCUUCCUCUAGAGGUGAUUUUUGCUUGUUUGGCUGAGAGUCAGAGAAGUACUUCUGACCUGGAACCUCUGUCCCAGACUUUAUUUAGGAGUAUCCAUUUCAGCUCCUCCAACUUGCAGGUGGCUCUCUGCUAUUGCCAAUAAAUGUAUUUACCCUCAGGUCAAUAUCACUGAUAUGGACAGAAGGCAGGGAAAUAGUGGGUAUAAGAGUGUGGGGUCCCUGGUGAGGGCUCCAUCCUCAAGCCUGGACCUGCAGCCCUAAAUGAGACGAUGCAUUCCUGUUUUCCCACCCGAAUGUUGCCUUUUCCAAAACCACUCUGGCCUGCCACGCCCCCAACUCCGUACCCAUAAAAACACCAAACUCCACUGGAAGAGGAGCAGAGUGGUGUGGCAGAGGACAGAAGAGAAGUGUCUGAAUGUUGAGAGAAGAGGCGGCUAGACAUUGGAGACUACGGUUGGAGAGGAGUUCAGCUGGGGAUGUUCGGAGAAGGAAGAUUAUCUUCCCAUUCCAUCCCCUUUCCAGCUCCCCGUCCCAUUGAGAGCCACUUCCAUCACUCAAUAAAAUCCUCUGCACACACC